rnacentral:rRNA from 1 species
NAGGGUCUUCGGACNNNNAUUAUAUCAUGGAGAGUUUGAUCCUGGCUCAGAACGAACGCUGGCGGCGCGUUUUAAGNAUGCAAGUCGAACGGGAUCUGAGGUGCUUGCACCUUGGUGAGAGUGGCGAACGGGUGAGUAACGCGUAGGUGAUCUACCUUUUAGUUGGGGAUAGCCCAUGGAAACAUGGGGUAAUACCGAAUAAUCUCAUUGAUUUUGUUUAAUGAGGAAAGGGGCGUUUGCCUCGCUGAAAGAUGAGCCUGCGUAUGAUUAGCUAGUUGGUGGGGUAAUUGCCUACCAAGGCGACGAUCAUUAGCCGGCCUGAGAGGGUGACCGGCCACAUUGGGACUGAGACACGGCCCAGACUCCUACGGGAGGCAGCAGCUAAGAAUCUUCCGCAAUGGACGCAAGUCUGACGGAGCGACGCCGCGUGUGCGAAGAAUGUCGAGAGAUUGUAAAGCACUUUUAUAUGUGAGGAAUAACAGUAUCAGGAAAUGGGUAUUGGAUGACGUUAGCAUAUGAAUAAGCUCCGGCCAAUUACGUGCCAGCAGCCGCGGUAACACGUAAGGAGCNAGCGUUGUUCGGAAUUAUUGGGCGUAAAGGGCAUGUAGGCGGUUUUGUAAGUCCGAUGUGAAAGCGUGCAGCUUAACUGCAUUGUUGCGUUGGAAACUGCGAGACUAGAAUCCGAGAGGGGUAAGUGGAAUUCCUAGUGUAGGGGUGAAAUCUGUUGAUAUUAGGAAGAACACCAGAGGCGAAGGCGACUUGCUGGCUCUGGAUUGACGCUGAGGUGCGAAAGCGUAGGUAGCGAACAGGAUUAGAUACCCUGGUAGUCUACGCCGUAAACGAUGUACACUUGGUGUCUGGAUCAUGAGAUCUAGGUGCCGUAGCUAACGCGUUAAGUGUACCGCCUGGGGAGUAUGCCGGCAACGGNGAAACUCAAAGGAAUUGNNNNNNNNNNGCACAAGNNNNNNNNNNNNNNGUUUAAUUCGAUGAUACGCGAGAAACCUUACCAGGGCUUGACAUAUACAGGACGGCACUAGAGAUAGUGUUUUCUCUUCGGAGACUUGUAUACAGGUGCUGCAUGGUUGUCGUCAGCUCGUGCCGUGAGGUGUUGGGUUAAGUCCCGAAACGAGCGCAACCCCUGUUGUAUGUUACCAUCAUUAAGUUGGGGACUCAUGCAAGACUGCCGGUGACAAACCGGAGGAAGGUGGGGAUGACGUCAAAUCAUCAUGGCCCUUAUGUCCUGGGCUACACACGUGCUACAAUGGCCGGUACAGAGUGAUGCGAAGCCGCGAGGUGAAGCAAAACGCAUAAAGCCGGUCUCAGUUCGGAUUGGAGUCUGAAACUCGACUCCAUGAAGGUGGAAUCGCUAGUAAUCGCGCAUCAGCAUGGCGCGGUGAAUACGUUCCCGGGCCUUGUACACACCGCCCGUCACACCACCCGAGUCGGGGGUACCCGAAGUCAGCAGGCUAACCUUCNUGGAGGCCGCUGCCGAAGGUAUGCUAGGNAAGGGGGGUGAAGNNGUAACAAGGUAGCNNNNNNNGAAGNNNNNNNNNGAUCACCUCCUUU